UACGUAGGGGGGCAAGCGUUGUCCGGAUUUAUUGGGCGUAAAGAGCUCGUAGGUGGUUCGGUAAGUCGGAUGUGAAAUCUCCAGGCUCAACCUGGAGGGGUCAUUCGAUACUGCCGGGCUCGAGUCCGGAAGAGGCGAGUGGAAUUCCCGGUGUAGCGGUGAAAUGCGCAGAUAUCGGGAGGAACACCAAUGGCGAAGGCAGCUCGCUGGGACGUGACUGACGCUGAGACGCGAAAGCGUGGGGAGCAAACAGGGAUUAAGAUACCCGU
rnacentral:rRNA from 1 species